rnacentral:rRNA from 1 species
CUACGGGAGGCAGCAGUGAGGAAUAUUGGUCAAUGGACGCAAGUCUGAACCAGCCAUGCCGCGUGAAGGAUGAAGGCCUUCUGGGUUGUAAACUUCUUUUACCUGGGAAGAAACCCCUAUUUUCUAAUAGGGUUGACGGUACCAGAGGAAUAAGCACCGGCUAACUCCGUGCCAGCAGCCGCGGUAAUACGGAGGGUGCAAGCGUUAUCCGGAUUUACUGGGUUUAAAGGGUGUGUAGGCGGGCUUUUAAGUCAGUGGUGAAAUCUCCGGGCUCAACCUGGAAACUGCCAUUGAUACUAUUAGUCUUGAAUUUUGUUGAGGUAGGCGGAAUAUGUCAUGUAGCGGUGAAAUGCAUAGAUAUGACAUAGAACACCAAUUGCGAAGGCAGCUUGCUAAACAAAUAUUGACGCUGAGGCACGAAAGCGUGGGGAUCAAACAGGAUUAGAUACCCCGGUAGC